AGUGAACGCUGGCGGUAGGCCUAACACAUGCAAGUCGAACGGCAGCACAGUAAGAGCUUGCUCUUACGGGUGGCGAGUGGCGGACGGGUGAGGAAUACAUCGGAAUCUACUUUUUCGUGGGGGAUAACGUAGGGAAACUUACGCUAAUACCGCAUACGACCUACGGGUGAAAGCAGGGGACCUUCGGGCCUUGCGCGAUUGAAUGAGCCGAUGUCGGAUUAGCUAGUUGGCGGGGUAAAGGCCCACCAAGGCGACGAUCCGUAGCUUGUCUGAGAGGAUGAUCAGCCACACUGGAAAUGAGCAAAGGUCCAGAUUCGUACGGGAGGCAGGAGUGGGGAAUAUUGGACAAUGGGCGCAAGCCUGUUCCAGCCAUACCGCGUGGGUGAAGAAGGCCUUCGGGUUGUAAAGCCCUUUUGUUGGGAAAGAAAUCCAGCCGGCUAAUACCUGGCUGGGAUGACGGUACCCAAAGAAUAAGGACCGGCUAACUACGUGCCAGCCGCCGCGGUAAAAC
rnacentral:rRNA from 1 species